rnacentral:rRNA from 1 species
GACGAACGCUGGCGGCGUGCUUAACACAUGCAAGUCGAACGGAAAGGCCCUGCUUUUGUGGGGUGCUCGAGUGGCGAACGGGUGAGUAACACGUGAGUAACCUGCCCUUGACUUUGGGAUAACUUCAGGAAACUGGGGCUAAUACCGGAUAGGAGCUCCUGCUGCAUGGUGGGGGUUGGAAAGUUUCGGCGGUUGGGGCUGGACUCGCGGCUUAUCAGCUUGUUGGUGGGGUAGUGGCUUACCAAGGCUUCGACGGGUAGCCGGCCUGAGAGGGUGACCGGCCACAUUGGGACUGAGAUACGGCCCAGACUCCUACGGGAGGCAGCAGUGGGGAAUAUUGCACAAUGGGCGGAAGCCUGAUGCAGCAACGCCGCGUGCGGGAUGACGGCCUUCGGGUUGUAAACCGCUUUCGCCUGUGACGAAGCGUGAGUGACGGUAAUGGGUAAAGAAGCACCGGCUAACUACGUG